GGGGAAAUCGAUUAUUGAUUAUGACGUACUUGUACUGAUUGAGAUUUUAACACGAAGUGAGUGGCGAACGGGUGAGUAACACGUGGGUAACCUGCCCAGAAGUAGGGGAUAACACCUGGAAACAGAUGCUAAUACCGUAUAACAGAGAAAACCGCAUGGUUUUCUUUUAAAAGAUGGCUCUGCUAUCACUUCUGGAUGGACCCGCGGCGUAUUAGCUAGUUGGUGAGGUAAAGGCUCACCAAGGCAGUGAUACGUAGCCGACCUGAGAGGGUAAUCGGCCACAUUGGGACUGAGACACGGCCCAGACUCCUACGGGAGGCAGCAGUAGGGAAUCUUCCACAAUGGACGCAAGUCUGAUGGAGCAACGCCGCGUGAGUGAAGAAGGGUUUCGGCUCGUAAAGCUCUGUUGUUAAAGAAGAACGUGGGUAAGAGUAACUGUUUACCCAGUGACGGUAUUUAACCAGAAAGCCACGGCUAACUACGUGCCAGCAGCCGCGGUAAUACGUAGGUGGCAAGCGUUAUCCGGAUUUAUUGGGCGUAAAGCGAGCGCAGGCGGUCUUUUAAGUCUAAUGUGAAAGCCUUCGGCUCAACCGAAGAAGUGCAUUGGAAACUGGGAGACUUGAGUGCAGAAGAGGACAGUGGAACUCCAUGUGUAGCGGUGAAAUGCGUAGAUAUAUGGAAGAACACCAGUGGCGAAGGCGGCUGUCUGGUCUGCAACUGACGCUGAGGCUCGAAAGCAUGGGUAGCGAACAGGAUUAGAUACCCUGGUAGUCCAUGCCGUAAACGAUGAUUACUAAGUGUUGGAGGGUUUCCGCCCUUCAGUGCUGCAGCUAACGCAUUAAGUAAUCCGCCUGGGGAGUACGACCGCAAGGUUGAAACUCAAAAGAAUUGACGGGGGCCCGCACAAGCGGUGGAGCAUGUGGUUUAAUUCGAAGCUACGCGAAGAACCUUACCAGGUCUUGACAUCUUCUGACAGUCUAAGAGAUUAGAGGUUCCCUUCGGGGACAGAAUGACAGGUGGUGCAUGGUUGUCGUCAGCUCGUGUCGUGAGAUGUUGGGUUAAGUCCCGCAACGAGCGCAACCCUUAUUACUAGUUGCCAGCAUUAAGUUGGGCACUCUAGUGAGACUGCCGGUGACAAACCGGAGGAAGGUGGGGACGACGUCAAAUCAUCAUGCCCCUUAUGACCUGGGCUACACACGUGCUACAAUGGAUGGUACAACGAGUCGCGAGACCGCGAGGUUAAGCUAAUCUCUUAAAACCAUUCUCAGUUCGGACUGUAGGCUGCAACUCGCCUACACGAAGUCGGAAUCGCUAGUAAUCGCGGAUCAGCAUGCCGACGGACAC
rnacentral:rRNA from 1 species